UACAGAGGGCUCAAGCGUUGUUCGGAUUCAUUGGGCGUAAAGGGUGUGUAGGUGGCGCCGUAAGUCGGGUGUGAAAUUUCGGAGCUUAACUCCGAAACUGCAUUCGAUACUGCCGUGCUUGAGGACUGGAGAGGAGACUGGAAUUUACGGUGUAGCGGUGAAAUGCGUAGAUAUCGUAAGGAAGACCAGUGGCGAAGGCGGGUCUCUGGACAGUUCCUGACGCUGAGGCACGAAGGCCAGGGGAGCAAACGGG
rnacentral:rRNA from 1 species